CCUACGGGGUGCAGCAGUGAGGAAUAUUGGUCAAUGGACGAGAGUCUGAACCAGCCAAGUAGCGUGAAGGAUGACUGCCCUAUGGGUUGUAAACUUCUUUUAUAUGGGAAUAAAAUGUUCCACGUGUGGGAUUUUGUAUGUACCAUAUGAAUAAGGAUCGGCUAACUCCGUGCCAGCAGCCGCGGUAAUACGGAGAAUCCGAGCGUUAUCCGGAUUUAUUGGGUUUAAAGGGAGCGUAGGUGGAUUGUUAAGUCAGUUGUGAAAGUUUGCGGCUCAACCGUAAAAUUGCAGUUGAAACUGGCAGUCUUGAGUACAGUAGAGGUGGGCGGAAGUCGUGGUGUAGCGGUGAAAUGCUUAGAUAUCACGAAGAACUCCGAUUGCGAAGGCAGUUCACUGGACUGCAACUGACACUGAGGCUCGAAAGUGUGGGUAUCAAACAGGAUUAGAUACCCCUGUAGUC
rnacentral:rRNA from 1 species